rnacentral:lncRNA from 1 species
AUAACCUUAAUCUCCUUAACCUUACCAAUUAUUAUUACCUUCAUCAACCCUUACAAGAAGAACUUGUACCCAUAUUAUGUAAAAAUAGCUAUCGCAUGCACCUUCACCAUUAGCCGCAUUCCCACAAGAAUGUUUAUAUCUACAGACCAAUAACCCAUCAUCUCAAACUGAUAUUGAAUAACAAUCCAAACCCUUAAACUCUCAUUAAGCUUCAGACUACUUCUCCAUAAUGUUUAUUCCAGUAGCACUAUUUGUCACCUGAUUAUAGAAUUCUCUAUAUGAUAUAUAAAGUUAGAUCCUAAUAUUGAUCAGUUUUGCAAAUAUUUACUUAUUUUCCACACCACAAUAUUAAUUCUAGUUACCGCCAACAACCUUUUUCAACUUUUUAUUGGAUGAGAAGGCGUAGGAAUUGUGUCUUUUCUACUAACUGGCUGAUGACAUGGCUGAGCAGAUGCUAAUACAACAGCCCUGCAAGCGAUCCUACAUAAUCGCUUUGGCGAUAUUGGCUUCAUUUUAGCUAUAGCCUGAUUCCUCACAUCCUCCAAUACAUGAGAGCCUCAACAAAUAUUUAUCCUAAAUCCUACCCCCGAUCUUCUUCCAUUAAUUGGCCUUCUCUUAGCAGCAGCAGCAGGAAAAACAGCCCAACUUGGCCUCCACUCCUGACUUCCUUCUGCCAUGGAAGGCCCAGCCCCUGUCUCAGCCCUACUCCACUCUAGCACUAUAGUUGUGGCAGGAGUGUUCCUACUUAUUCAUUUCCACCCCUUAAUAGAAAAUAAUGUGUUAAUCCAAACCCUUACACUAUGUCUAGGGGCUAUUACCACUUUUUUACAGCAAUCUGUGCUUUAACACAAAAUAAUAUUGAAAAAACCGUAGCAUUCUCCACCUCAAGUCAACUGGGCCUUAGAAUAACCACAAUUGGCAUUAAUCAACCACACCUAGCAUUCCUACACAUCUGCACCCAUGUCUUUUUCAAAGUUAUAUUAUUUGUGUGUUCAGGAUCUAUCAUCCACAGCCUCAACGAUGAACAAGACAUCUGAAAAACAGGACUAUUUAAGACUUUACCCCUUACUUUCUCCUCCCUUAUUAUUGGCAGCCUAGCACUUACGGGUAUGCCCUUCCUCACAGGCUUUUACUCUAAAGAUCUCAUCAUCGAAACCACAAACACGUCAUAUACCAAUGUCUGAGCCCUCUCUAUUACUUUCAUUGCCACUUCCCUAACAAGUGUCUACAGUAUGCAAAUUAUUUCCUUUGCCCUAAUAGGACAACCCCACUUCCCAACCCUAAUCAACAUUAAUGAAAAUAUUCCUUCCCUAAUAAAUCCAAUUAAACACCUUAUAGUUGACAGCAUCUUCGCUGGGUUUCUCCUUACCAAUAGCAUUGCCCCUGCUUCAUCCCCACAAACAACAAUAGCACCUCAUCUAAAACUUGCAGCCCUAGGUGUAAACAUCCUAGGGCUUUUACUGGCUAUAGAACUGAGUUCUAGAAUUAAUAAUCUUAAAAUAAAACACCCAUUACAAAUAUUCAACUUUUCUAACAUAUUAGGAUUUUACUCAAUCACAAUUCACUGUAUAACCCCUCACUCAAGCCUAUCUAUAAGCCAAAACCUGGCAUCACUUCUAUUAUCUAAUUUGACUAGAAAAGUCCAUACCAAAAAC